AGGGCCAAAAAUGAAAAUAAAAGUAAGCCAUCGUGAAGGUAAAAUUAGGACCAGACACAGAGCCUGUGGAAUAUGGAUGCGAGAGAGCUGCUGAUCAGAGUUUCCAGAGCUCAGACUGUCUUGCAGCCCCCAAAAGCUGAUCCAGGACUAAUGAAACAUCAUUCUCAGGAAGGUGCCCAUAAGGUCAACAUCCUUAUUGCUUUAAGGAUGAUCUAUUUCCUCUAAAAGGGUUCCAUCUAAUUCAACCAAAAUUUAAUGUAAUAAAAAGCCCUUUAGGUGCUUGUAUAAAUAUAACUUAAUUGGGAAGUUGCUAUCUUGACAGUUUAGAAAUAAAGGUAUAAGUGACGGUAAAACCAUCCUCACGCAGUACAUACAAAAGUGGGAUGAAAAAUGUUACAAGAUCAGGUUCACAUUUUGGAAAUUCUAGUGCAGUUUGGGAUCUGGGCUAUCUAUCGGUAGGAAGGUACAUUUCUUUCAUUCUUUUGCCUGUCCAAAGUUAAAAUUAAUAAUAAAAUGUUUCUAUCCAUGUUUGGCAUCAAAAAAUUUUCCUUUUUACAGUCCCAGAAAACCAAAUAGAAGAAAACCAACAUUCACUGAAUGUCAGGCAUUAUAUUAGGUACUUUACAGAUAAUAUAUUAUUAUCUCAUAAAUAUUAUCUAAUUUAAUUUUAUAGCACUGAAGAAUCAGUAGACCCCAGGGUGUCUGGCUCCUAUGCUUGAGACUGUCCCUCUGUAUUCCAUUAUGGCACACAGUUGCCAAUUUUCAGAGAAAUAGAAUACAAGAAAAUUUACUUGACAGUAAAAUCACAAUGCAAAUACCUUAAUCUUCUAUUGUGAUCUAAAAAGCACUUUGUCUCAAGUUUUAUUUUUCUAAACAGCAACCAUGGGUUGGUUUUAUCUUAUUACUUCCAUAUCCAUUAUAGUUAAAAAUAGAAGGUUAAGCUGCAACUAUAUGGGUCCUAUGUCAUAUUCUAAUAUCAAAUUAUUUAAUUGCCUUCUCUAAUAAGAUAAGAGGCCAGAAAAAAAUGGUAAUUAUUUGAGAAUUUUUGUUGUUUGGAUUCUAUAUAGUAUUUGGAUUCUAUAUAGUAGUUGGCAUUAUUUAUUUCUUUGUGUAGAUCCAUUAUGGCCUGCUUUUAACCUUUGGGUCUAAGGACUUCAAGUAAAACAAAAUUGUGGGCCUUAAUUCUCCCAAGUUAGCAUUUUGUUUUCUUUUUAACUGUGACCCUAAAUAAUAGUUGACAAUAUAAACAGGUUUAAGAAAGGUUGAGAAAAAUUCGUGGACUUCAGCCGCCUAAUAGAUCAAGAGGAAUUAAGUACCUGGAGGGUACAUCCCUGAUUUUUGAGAGCAUUAUGAUGGAAAAACUACCAUGCUUCCUCAUAGAACAUUCCUUCAAGAAUAUUAAGAGAAAGAUUGCAUUUUUAAUGCCUUUCUCAAGUUCAUUUCCAUCGUCUUUCCCUCAAAACCCAUUUUGCUUUUUAACGGUCUAAUCUGUUAAUUUUAUCACCAUUUUUUAAAGUUUCCCAGGAUAGGAAAUCUUAGAAUAGCAUUUCUCAACAUGAGUUCUGUGAAAUACUAAGGCCUAUGAUAUACCAAUAAGAUUCUACCAAAUGAAGAAUCUCUUUAGGGAAUGCUAGAUUAAAGAAAAUUACACAGGUUCCACUUCCAAUAAUGGCCCAGGAGUUCAUAUUAAACCAACCUUUCUGCAGAUAAAAAUUAAAUUAUUGAGAAAAUAUAAUUCUUAAAAAGUAUAAACAAAAAGUGGAAAAACUGAAAGCAAGCAGGUACUAAAUGUGGGGCAAUGCUUUGUAGAAGAGAAUGGCAUUGGAUGAAAUUCCCUUUUUUUUUUUUUUUUUACAGCCGUUGGCCUUUUUGUAAAGCAGGCCCCUACAGAGAGCUGUGCUAAACAGGCUCAAACUCAAAUAGAAACUCAGUAUUACUGAGCUGAAGAUCUAGAAGACACAGUUGUGGGUGACCACAGCAGCUAGAAAAUGGAAGACCUUUCAGAAAGGAGAGAACCAGAAAUAGGAAGGCCCACAUUCUAUAUAUAAACUCUAUCCAAAUCUCUGCCUGAUAUUUGUACUAAGAAUGCAUGGGACAGACACCAAGCAUUUCAGCUAAGACUAGAAGAAAUAAACUAAGAUUUUAGUUGAUGCUCUUGUCAGGGAAGAUAAAGUUUGCAAUUUGAGUUCAGUCAUAUUAUCUGAAAACUCUUUAAAGGAACAUAAUAAAGUUCAGAGUUUCUGCAGUGUAUUGUUCUCAAUGUCCAGGAUGGAAUCCAAAAUUCAACACACAAAGAAAUGUGAUUCCUACAUUUUUCUCCAAGAGAAAACAUAAUAGACAUUAACCAACCCCUAGAUGGCCCAGAGAAUGGAAUCUGCAGAUAAGAGUUUUAAUGUAGCCAUUAUUGGAGUUCCCGUCAUGGCUCAGUAAGGAUGUGGGUUCAAUCCCUGGCCUAGCUCAGUGGGUUGAGGAUCCAGUGUUGCCUUGAGCUGUGGUGUAGAUAGCAGACACAGCUCAGAUCUGGCAUUGCUGUGGCUGUGGUGUAGGCUGGUAGCUGUAGCUCCAGUUUGGCCCCUAGCAUGGGAAUAUCCAUAUGCCUUGGGUGCAAUCCUAAAAAGACCCACACAAAAAACAAACAAAAAAAAGUAGCCAUUAUAACUAAGUUCAAUAAUGUAAAAAGAAACAUGCUCACAAUGAAUGAAAAGAUGAAAUCUUAGCAGAAAAUCAGAAAACUGUUAAAAAAAGAUAGAAAUGCUAGAACUGAAAAAUAUAAUAUCUUAAAAUUACACACACAAAAUAAUAACAAAGGAGUUUCUGUUGUGGCUCAGUGAGUUAAGAUCCCAACAUGGUGUCCAUGAGGAUUUGGGUUCAAUCCCUGGCCUUACUCAGUGUUUUAAGGAUCUGGUGUUGCCACAAGCUGUGGAGUACGGUGGAGAUGCAGCUCCAAUUUGACCCCUAGCCUGAGAACUUCCAUAUGCUGCAGGUGUAGCCCUAAAAAUAAAAACAAAACCAAAAUUACACAGAUUUCUUUAAACUUCACAGAGUUUUUAAAUAUGUUCAUGAGCAUCAUGAAUCUCCAAGAGGGAAAUGAACUAUGGAACUGUUUCCCAAAUUUGGGAACACUAAAUGGAAGAUUAAAGUUCAUGCCUAUAGAACACAGUUUGAGCAAUACUGCCCUAGAGAUUCAAGUUAAGGUGUCUGUGAUUAAACUGUAAACAAAAGCUCUAUGGUUUUGGUUUGACUCUGGUACUGAGUUUGUAUUCUGUGGGGCAGAUAAUUCUGACAUAUGAGGCAGAGAACAAAUAUGUAUUAGGUGCUUGCUAAGUGCUAGGCAGUACUAUUUCAUAAAAUAAGUUUUAUUGUUCUUGAUUUAAUAAAGUAUUUUAGGAGUUCCCAUUGUGGCUCAGUAGUAAUGAACCCGACUGGAAUCCAUGAGAUGUGGGUUCGAUCCCCGGCCUCACUUAGGGGGUUAAGGAUCCAGUAUUGCUGUGAGCUAUCGUGUAGGUUGCAGAUGCAGCUAGGACCUGGUGUUGCUGUGGCUGUGGUGUAGGCCAGCAGAUACAGUUCCAAUUAGACCCCUAGCCUGGGAAGCUCCAUAUGCCAAGGGUGUGGCCCUAAAAAAAAAAAAGACUCAGUUCUGCCAGAAUUCAAAGCCUACACUCUUCAUUCUAUUCACUUGAUACUCAAAAUAUGGUGCAUGAACCAGCAUCAGGAGAAUUACCUGGAAGCUUGUUAGAAAUGCAAAAAAUCACAGGUCCUGAUGAAGACCUACUAAGUCAGAAUCUGAAUUUAACAAAAUGCUUGGGAAAUGUGUCUGCACAUUAAAGUUUGAGAAGCAUUAGUCUAUACCAGUGGUUCUCAAAGUGUAAUUUCUGGACCAGCAGCAUUAGCAUCAGCUGAAGACUUGUUAAUGCAAAUUCUUGGGCCAAAUUCUACAACUAUUAAAUCAGAAAAAUCUGUGUUUUAACAAGCUCUUUGGGUGAGGUGAUGCACACUAAAAUUUGAGAGCUGCUGGUCUCUUCUAUAAUGCCUCACAUUAAAUUACUGAAAAUAGCCAAACAAAUAGCAUGAAUAAAAGGCAAAAGUGAGACUUUGAUCCUGACAAAAAUAAACUAAGACUUAGUAGGAUAAAGUUUCAAGUAAUAACCUAUAUGAGGAGAGGCAUACAAUAAUACUAGAAGACACAAAAAGAUAGUGUCUAAAUAUGGCAGAAAUGCCCAUGCUUUACAAAUUAAACUACCAUUUAAUAGAAUUGGAAGGAGUUUGAUAAAUUGUAAACUUUACAUUAAAGAAUAAACAAAAAUUAAUAAAAUGUGGGAGGGGGAAAAGGCUAACUCUAUCAGCAAAGAAAGCAUGCUAUAAGGCUACAAUAGAAAAAACCACACACACAAGAAUUUGUAACUAGAUUAAUGAAAUCGAUUAUGUGGCUCCUAAAGUAGUAGUUUUCAAAAAGAGGCUUUUUCCAACAAUGCGUGCCAUCCCUUGGAAAUUCUAGUAUUUACAGCCCUCCUUGCAAGUCAUUGCAUAUUGUGAGUUUGAAUUUUGUAUAGACAAAACUAAGAACCACUUCUCCAUGAUAAGAAUUUAAUAUAUGAUUAAAAGUCUAGAACACGCAACAAUUCAUACUGAGGGAAAUGGUUAAUUAUUUGGGUGAAAAUAAUCAAGUUAGAGCUUCCCAUCAGAAUUUGUAUCACCUAUAUUCCAGGUUUUAAAAUAUAUUAAAAACACAUAGUGGAAAAUUUAAAUUUCUGUAUAUUAAAAAAAAACCACAAAAUUUUAAAAACACAGUGGAAAAUUUAAACUUCUGUAUAUAUUUUAAAAAAAAACACAAAAUUUGUGACAACUAUGGAGAAAAGGUUAAUAAGCUUUUAAAAAUAUUUUUAUGGGAGUUCCUGUCCUGGCGCAGUGGUUAAUGAAUCCGACUAGGAACCAUAAGGUUGCGGGUUCGGUCCCUGCCCUUGUUCAGUGGGUUAACGAUCCGGCGUUGCCGUGAGCUGUGGUAUAGGUUGCAGACGCGGCUCGGAUCCCACGUUGCUGUGGCUCUGGUGUAGGCCGUGCCACAGCAACGCGGGAUCUGAGCUGCGUCUGCAACCUACACCACAGCCCAUGGCAACGCCUGAUCUUUAACCCACUGAGGGAGGCCAGCGAUUGAACCUGCAACCUCAUGGUUCCUAGUUGGAUAUGUUAACCACUGAGCCACAACGUGAACUCUGGUUGUCUUUUUAUUUAAUGGUUUCCUUUGCUGUACAAAAGCUUGUAAGUUUGAUUAGGUCCCACUGGUUUAUUUUUGUUUUUAUUUCUAUUGCCUUGGGAGACUGACCUAAGAUAACAUUUGUAGGGUUGAUGUCAGAGAAUGUUUUGCCUAUGUUGUCUUCUAGGAGUUUUAUAGUGUCUUAUCUUAAUGUUGUUUAAGUUUUUAAGCCAUUUUGAGUUUAUUUUUGUGCAUGGUGUGAGGGUGUGUUCUGGUUUCAUUGAUUUACAUACCCCUGUCCAGUUUUCCUAGCAUUAUUUGCUGAAGAGACUGUCAUUUCCCCAUUUUAUAUUCUUGCCUCCUUUGUCAAAUAUUAAUUG
rnacentral:lncRNA from 1 species